rnacentral:tRNA from 1 species
GCGGGAAUAGCUCAGUGGUAGAGCACCACCUUGCCAAGGUGGGGGUCGCGAGUUCAAAUCUCGUUUCCCGCU